GACAGAGGGUGCAAACGUUGUUCGGAUUUACUGGGCGUAAAGCGCGUGUAGGCGGCUUGGCAAGUCGGAUGUGAAAGCCCACGGCUCAACCGUGGAAGCGCAUCCGAAAUUGCUUCGCUCGAGUCUCGGAGAGGAAGGUGGAAUGCUUGGUGUAGAGGUGAAAUUCGUAGAUAUCAAGCAGAACACCUGCGGCGAAGGCGGCCUUCUGGACGAUGACUGACGCUGAGACGCGAAAGCGUGGGGAGCAAACAGG
rnacentral:rRNA from 1 species